AGAUGCCUGUGUCUCACGCUCACUGUGUGAGCGUUGGCAGUCCUGGAUAAAUCAACAACAGCCCUCCCCCUCAUUAGCCAAGAUUGGGAAGGAGGCGUUUGUUGAUGGCGGCAAUAACAGGCAGUGAUUGACAGCCAUGAAGAGGAUGAGAAGCAGCAAGAAAAGAGAGAAACCAACAGAAACAUCCACUCUUCAGUUCAAGGCUGAGACAGACUUGUUUCCUGUGAGGCGCUUUGUAACUGGGAACCAUGACUCCCACCAUUCACCCAUACUGGUCAACAAGCACACAGAGAGCAGGAGGGCAGAGAAUUAUCAGUGAGUGGGAUGUGGGGAGAAGAAGUAACACAACAUGUUGCUUGUUGCAGCCCACUCACUAUAGUAUGUAACUCAUUCUGCUGCUGUGCGGGGAAGACUCAGGCCCAGAGCGGUGGAUCCAGGAUUCAUCUGUUCGCCUUCAUUUGUCUUUCUAACUCACGUGAAGCAGAACACAUCAUCUGGUAUCAUAUGUUGGUUUUGCUCCUGCACAACUAUCUUUUUUAAAUGAGGCUCAAAUUGCGACUAUUAUGCAGUUAUGCUGUGAUGUCACAUUAUCACAGCUUCAGAGGAAAGUGAGUGAGUAUUCAGAGCCUUCUGGCACCCAGAAAAGCAACUCUGUCUGGAGAUUUUCACACAUUAUAAUUUCCACUAGCGCCUACGCAGAGCGGCUCGGCUCAAUUCUGUUCCACAUGGUUGGGGUGGUUUUCCAUUACAACUAGUGGAGGGUCCAUCCUAGUAGGGCAGCCCUUAGUUUGAAAAGUAGUGCAAGGUGAUCUUUACACGACACAAUACACAGCAAAACAGAAACAAUGGAGGAUGCAGUAGUGAUGUUGAGCUUUGUGCUCAGUCUGUGUCUUUUUGUCAGACGCCAAAAGGAAGACACCAGAAGCAGCGCAGAAGUACUGGAGACUGUUGGUGACUCCUUCCUUUAGUCAAUCAGACCCUACAUUGGCUACCUGUUAAAUUCAGAAUAGAUUUUAAGAUCCUCCUUCUCACUUAUAAAGCUCUUAAUAAUCAAGCUCCAUCAUACAUCAGUGAUCUGAUUGUUCCAUACAUUUCUAACCGAGCACUUCGCUCCCAGACUGCAGGUCUACUGGUGGUUCCCAGAAUAUCUAAAAUAAGGAUGGGAGGCAGAUCUUUUAGUUAUCAGGCUCCUCUCCUGUGGAACCAGCUCCCAGCUUUAGUCCGUGAGGCAGACACUUUGUCUACUUUUAAGACUAGGCUUAAAACAUUUUAUUUGAAAGGGCCUAUGGUUAAAAUCUGAUGUUAGCCUAAAUCUGGACAAGUGGGGGAGUACAGGGAGGUGGAGUGUACAGUCGGUAAAGACGGCUCUCCCUUGCCCUGCCUCCAACAUGCCUACAUCUAAAUAGGAUAGAUUAUCCUGAGUUAUCUCUGUAGUUAUGCUGCUAUAGGCUUAGACUGCUGGAGGACACACUGACCACUUUCCACACUCUACUGCUUUCUUCUACAGUCUGCUCUUUAACUGUACUAUUUUCUGUAAUUUCAGCUGUUAACUUUAUUUUCUCUCCCCAGAAGAAGCUACAAUGAUGUUCUGCUGAGCUGUGGUGCCCUCACGGAGGGGGCCAUCGACUAGCACACUGCUGCUAACCACUAAAAUAUUCUCCCUCUCCUGAUAACUUUUUGCUUUCCUUGACAUUGGAUGUGCUACUGCUAGUUUAUCCGUUUAAUUAUAGAUUCACUAGGAUAAAUACAAUAAAGUUUAUCUUUCACCAAAUACAAUAUUUACUUAGACAUCACAAUAUAACUAUAGACACAUUACUUGUGUGUGUGUGUGUGUGUGUGUGUGUGUGUGUGUGUGUGUGUGUGUGUGUGUGUGUGUGUGUGUGUGUGUGUGUGUAUGUGUGUGUGUGUGUGCGUGCGCUCUGUCUUCUCGAUCCCCAGUGAGUCGUGGAGGAUGGCUGCUUAUACUGAGCCAGGAUUCUCUGGAGGUUUCUUCCUGUUAAAAGGGAGUUUUCCUCUCCACUGUCGCUUUAUGCUUGCUUAGUAUAAGGAUUGCUGUAUAGUCACUGACACUAGUCAGUGACUUGAUGCAAUUUGCUGGGUUCCUUAUAUAGGAAACAUUAUUUCUGAUUGGCUUAAUGAACUGAACUGAAUUGGAAUGUUUAUUAUGUGAAGUGCCUUGAGACGACUCUUGUCGUGAUUUGGCGCUACAUAAAUAAACUUGAAUUGAAUUGAAUUGAAUCAGUGACCUUUGUGUUUUCUUAGUUCUGUUCACUUGGAACCAAUUUAAGGCUGGACUUAAAAAAUGGGCAGCAAUCAGUUACUACUGGAAAAGCCUUAUAAGUGUGUUGCGUCAUUCUGGCCUGACAAGCCAUCCUAUUCAAGUGAAUAUAUUGUCUGGCCAUGACCCGUAGAAAGAUUUCAGUCGU